ensembl:lncRNA
ACACACACACACACACACACACACACACACACACACACACAGACACGCACGCUAAGAAAAUUAGAAACUGCCAUGCAACAGAGGAUGACGCAUUGUGGUACAUCGCCAUCUGCUUUUAUCAUUCAUUUACUGAGAAUGUUAAAUACACUGAAGGCAACAGCCGUUCUGUAAAAAGGUACAGCGCUGUCUGAGUAUUUGAAAAGAAGAAGUUAGGGUUUGAUGAAACAUCAUGAGGAUAGGAAUGAACCCUUUAACCCGAGUUAUUACAAAAUGAUUCAUGAUAAAUAUAGUUGUUGGUUAUUUAAGAUUACACUUUAAUGUACAUUUAUGUGUGACAAAACAUUACAAUCCAAAAGCUUCUGUAUUCAUCAAACUUUCCCAGAAGUUGGCAGGAAGCUGUUAUAAAGAGGAUGCGGAAGCUUGCAGAUAACCAAAAAGGAAUAUUUAUUUAAUUCUGCUCAUGUUGAUAAGGGAACAUAGAGACAAUGUUUUAGGUAGCAUACAAAAAUAAGCUGAAAAAUUAGGUCAUGUCAAGUUUAGGCACAGAGGCUUCAUUCAACUUUACAGUAAAAAAAGUCCCUAGAGCCCUCGCCUCUCAGGCUUGUUUGAAUUCGAGGUCUAUCAUAAACACCGAAAAUAAACACUCAGUCAACGCAUGAAAAGGGGAAGUGGUGAAUGCAUCUUCUUUCCAGAGCUUCAGUUCUUUAGACUGGGAGGCACAUGUCAGACGUCUUUUGACAACAGCUUUGCACCUGUUUUUUGCUGUUGUGUCUAGCAGAUGGAUCUACCCACGGAUCUUUCGUCCAGGUUAUGGAUGCUUAUUAUUAUUAUUAUUUUUAUGUGGAUUUUGAUCAGCCUCGUCUUCAUCUUGAUCAACAAGUGCAUUUCAAAGGCAGGAAAACUCAGAAUCGCAGAGCUCCAGAGAAUGUCUGGCUUCUCCACCAAGAGCAAUCAAUACCAGGGGGGCGAGUAUGUUUCGGAGAUCCCACCUUUACCUCCUCGGACACAGUUUCUCCUCACAGAGGCCCAAAGUUAUGAGAACCUGGACGCCGCAGAUGAUCAGACUGAUCGGACUGAUCAGACUGAUCAGAUCGUCCACGAGCAGGACGUCCCAGACUACGAGCAGGUUGACCAGGACGUCCCGGACUACGAGCAGGACGUCCCACACUACGAGCAGGACGUCCCAGACUACGAGCAGGUUGACCAGGACGUCCCGGACUGCGAGCAGGACGUCCCAGACUACGAGCAGGUUGACCAGGACGUCCCGGACUGCGAGCAGGACGUCCCAGACUACGAGCAGGACGUCCCAGACUACGAGCAGAUUGACCAGGACGUCGCAGACUACGAGCAGGACAAGCAGUCCGACUCUUUGAAGGCGGUGGGUGAGGACGAGCCUCUCCCUCUGAUUCCACGGUACCCAGAUCUAGAUCCAGCAGCAGACAGUUUCUCAGAGGACGACUACGACGACAUCGGGGGUGAAGAUGAAACCGAGGGGGAAGAGGACUACGACGAUGUGGCUUAGGACCACAAGAGAACGGGAGAGAGAUCAUUCAAGUAAAGACGCUGUCAACCCUCUGGAUCAGAACGAAGUCCCCCGGGCAGGUGGAAGGUUUUCAUGUGUUUCAUAAGUAGAAGGGGUGGUUGUCUGUAGUUAAUGUGUGGUUUUCAAGGACAAAGAAGAGGCAGAACACAUACGUGACUCAUUUUCCAGGCAAAGGAUGUGGUCAGUUUAAUCUACAGGAAUACUUCAUAUUCUAAUCAUCCAUGUUUGUAGCGUCUAAAAAGAACAACCUGCCUGUUUUCAGCUAAGAGGCUUUUUAAAAUAGUUGAUUCCAUUUAAGGGGAAGGAGGAUUUCCUUUAUCUCUUUAUUCAGUUUAUCAGAAACACUCUACAUCCGCAUCUGGACACGUGGUUUUCACUUGGCAGGAAGGGGAUGAAAAACAGUCAUCUGAAAAGAAACUAAAGCCGUCAGCGAAAUGUGGUAGAGAAAACAGUACAAUACAAUUAUGAGUAAGUACAUUAAAUAGGAAAACUUGAGUAAAAAACCUAUUGAUUGGUUUAGAAAGCAGACAAGGCUCAGAGGCAUUUCCUCCUUCUUCUUUUCUGCUGAAUCCCAAGUUUUAGAGACUCUGAUCCCGGUUUGGUUACGACUGCGUCAUCAGUCGAGCCGUCGAAGGCUUAAAAUAACUAUAAAAAAAAAAAAAUGUUUUUAUGCUGCCGUGUGGUUGACGCUGCAUUCUGAUUGUACAGCUGUUGAUUGUUGUUGCGCUUUAUGAGCUUUGACUCACCUGUCAAUGUAGCUGGGUUGCAUUUAAGUAAUUUAGCAUGUUAACAUAGUCCGUGCAUGUAGAAGUCAUGGAGUCGAACUCGCACUUGAGUAUUGUUAAAACAAUCUCUUACCCUGCUUGGAGUAAUGUCACGCUCAUCCUCCGUCUUAUACGUUCCAUCUCCACAGGGGUCGUGUCGGGCCCCUCGGGUGGCAGCAGGCCCUCAGCAGCCUCUCAGCCCGGUCGUCCUCUGUGGAUCCAAACAUUGGAUUCAAAAAGGGAAAGAAUUCUACCAAAAAACAUAGUUAUUUGAUCUCCGUUUAUGAAAAAGCGCCGUUAAGCCAGCAGUUUGGUGACCCACAUACAUAAUCUCUCACACUCUGACCACAUAAUAACAUCCUGCCAGUCAUCAGUCACUGCCUUACGUAGCCCUCGGGAAGUUUUAAUGAAUAUAAGUGGAUUUGAAUGCCUCGGUUUAGGAUUAAGUGAUCUGACGGCGCUCCAAAGAGACAAUGCAGGAAAAGAAAAAGCUGGGGGAAAAAAAAGAGGGGAAAUUUUUUUGGGGGAAAAAAAUCCAGCGAAAACAGGAAGGUCACUGAGGUUAAACAAUUUAAAAAUGUGAAGAAAAAGACAAGAUUCUUUCCUUUUUUCUUUUUUACAGUCUGUGCUGGCAUUGUCCACUGUGCAGCUGAUUGAUGGAAUACUUAACUAAUAAUAUAUUAUUUAGCACAUGAAAAUAUAUUAAAAUGUUUUUUUGAUGGAUUUAACACAUUAUAAUGUACUUGUCAGUGUAUAUUUAGUGUGUAUUAAUGUGCUGUGAUUGCCAACAAUCAUAACCACGUAAGACAGUUAUAUUUUCAUGUAGUUCAGGAAGAGUUUGGAUUGUUUACCACAUUAAUAGAAGGAUUUGUCUUAUAAUUAGGUUCAUAUAGUUAUUGGCUCUCUAACAGAAAACAUUUUCGUAGGAAAAUCUUUCGUUUUUCACAAGGACUUUAAUUUUGAAGAAUCUAAAACGGAAGUGUAGCUGUAGCUAAAGGUGUGGGUUUGAAACAGCAAGCCCACGCUUUCUUUUUUGAAAAUUCGUAUAAAUAUUAGAUUGUGUUGAUAGAUGAGAGGAGACAAUGCUGUUUGAAAAAGAGUUCAAAAGGAAUAUUGACUCCUAAAAAACUUUAUUUUAUGUUAAAAACGUGCAUCUUUAUCAACACUAUUACAGCAACAGAUAGAAAUAUAUAAACGUCCAAUUCGAUUCAAUUUUAAAAAUACCAUCAGAAAUUAUAUGCAAAAAAACAAUAAACAACCACAUACCACGGUGAAAACACAAAUGUACUUUCCGUUACAGUAUUAUCUGUUUUAUCAGAGGCUUAUAUUAUUUUGGGAUAUUUUUAUUGCCUGAUUUUGUUGGUCUCAAUGUUGUCCUGAAAUGUUUUAAUCCCAGUUUAACCACCAAAGGCACUUUGUUUAAAGUAUAACAUGCUGUAUGAAUUUGGUUGAUUAUUAAGAUGAUUGUUCCAAAAUUGUUUUGUGUUUUAUUCACACAAAGAUUUCACGUGUUGUGGAUAAAAUGUUCAAUGUAUUUUAGAAGUGCAGCAUAAUAUUUAGUUUACCUAAGCGUAGUGUGUAGCAACCUGACAUCCUGCCUGUACAGAUAAAACGUGAUUUGCUUUUUAAUAAUAGUUAUGGGAUGCACCAUGAUGUAAUAAAUAAAACGUAACGAUAGAGCUAUUUAUAAAACAAUGCAGUUCCGGUUUUAAAGCUGUAUUUGGUGGUACAAGUGAAAGUUGUUACGUUAAUUGUUGCUAUUGUUACAGUGACUUUCCCCUCUACUGUUUAACAGUUUAAUUUGGUGUGUUUCCUUCCUCCUUAAAUAUGAAUGAUACUAUCUGAACGGUUGUAUGAAUUGUUGGUGUCUUUUCUUAUUAGAAUAAAUUCUUUGCACUCUUUUUUGUCAUUUAUUAUGCUUAGCAAUCAACAUGAGAGAAAAGAAAAAGCAAGUAGCCAUCAGCAAUGAUUAUGAAUAGAAAAUGUUCAGUAAAUAGAACGAAAUAGGCGAAAUACAAA